rnacentral:rRNA from 1 species
UACAGAGGGUACAAGCGUUAAUCGGAAUUACUGGGCGUAAAGCGCGCGUAGGUGGUUUGUUAAGUUGAAUGUGAAAUCCCCGGGCUCAACCUGGGAACUGCAUGCAAAACUGGCAAGCUAGAGUAUGGUAGAGGGUGGUGGAAUUUCCUGUGUAGCGGUGAAAUGCGUAGAUAUAGGAAGGAACACCAGUGGCGAAGGCGACCACCUGGACUGAUACUGACACUGAGGUGCGAAAGCGUGGGGAGCAAACAGG